rnacentral:sRNA from 1 species
GAAAAAGGAAAAGCAAAUCAAAAAGAAAACGACAUAAGCAAUAUCCAAAUUCCAACACCUGUGCUUUUUCUCUCCUUCUCACGCACUCUCACACUGUCACACGCUCAAAACAAAGCCAUCCCCCCUGCCACCCCAACCGCAUUAAACGCAACACUCAAACUGAAACCACAAGCAGCAGCAUUACUCGACGGAGCUGCAGCCGGAGCAGGCGACGAAAAAUCCGAACCAUACUUAUGUAUUUUCAAACAGAACCACCACCAACCACCACCGUGAGCUUUAAGCCUUUUUCAACAGCAGCGUUACUGAUGAAGCAGAUGGUCCUGACUUAUCCAACGUGAUCUCCUCCAAGUCUGCCUUGAUUGGCCUUGAAGUGUCGCAGGUUCUCAAGGCCUUUAGCAAGACUGGGCUUGACCCAAAAUCAAAGGAGCUGAGAUGGGCAGGAGUUGGUUGAAAAACUCCGAAAGUAAGCGGCAGAUCAUGGUCUGACGGAGGGGAAGGCUCGAGAAUAUCUGGUGGAGCGUAUCCUGCAGGAAAGUGUCCAAAGCUACUGCAUUUAGAUCAGGAGCUGUGAUGGGAUUUCUCCUCACUCCAAGUGGUCUGUUGGUUCUUUACAUUGUUAUCAAUCUCUUCAAGUUGUACUACGGUGAUGAUUAGGGCGGUCAUUUCGA